UAACCAACCAGAACUAAUUGUAUUAUAUUUCGAUAGUAGUUGAAAAAAUUUAAGAAGUGCUUUAGUUUGCGGCAAAGUAUAUCGUGGUCAACGCAAUCAAAGGCUUUGGAAUGGUCAAACACAACCAGAAAUGCUAGAUAUGGCAAUAUUUAGAUUGGGUGUUAGUCGUUUCCAGUUUUUAACUUAGGAAUCGGCAUUAUCUUCUCUACUGGCUUGUGACUUUACAGAUAAGAAACUUCAAUACGACCCUUUGUUACCCAAAGAAUUCAAGGCUUUAAAAUUGAGGAAAAACUUGUGCCGGGAC